rnacentral:rRNA from 1 species
CGCGAAACCUUUACACUGCACGCAAGUGCGAUAAGGGGACCCCGAGUGCGAGGGCAUACAGUCCUCGCUUUUCACUACCGUACGAUGGUAGUGGAAUAAGAGCUGGGCAAGACCGGUGCCAGCCGCCGCGGUAAWACCGGCAGCUCGAGUGAUGGCCGAUCUUAUUGGGCCUAAAGCGUUCGUAGCCGGCCACACAAGUCCACCGGGAAAUCCGCCAGCCCAACUGGCGGGCGUCCGGUGGAAACUGUGUGGCUAGGGACCGGAAGACCCGAAGGGUACGUCUUGGGUAGGAGUGAAAUCCUGUAAUCCUGGACGGACCGCCGAUAGCGAAAGCACUUCGGGAAGACGGAUCCGACGGUGAGGGACGAAAGCCAGGGUCUCGAACCGGAUUAGAUACCCGGGUAGUCCUGGCCGUAAACGAUGUCUGCUAGGUGUGGCUCCACUACGAGUGGGUGCUGUGCCGUAGGGAAGCCGCUAAGCGGACCGCCUGGGAAGUACGUCCGCAAGGAUGAAACUUAAAGGAAUUGGCGGGGGAGCACUACAACCGGAGGAGCCUGCGGUUUAAUUGGAAUCA